CUACGGGACGCAGCAGUGGGGAAUAUUGGACAAUGGGGGAAACCCUGAUCCAGCAAUGCCGCGUGUGUGAAGAAGGCCUGCGGGUUGUAAAGCACUUUCGGUUGGGAGGACUGCUUCUAGCACUAAUAUUGUUGGAAGUUGACGUUACCUUCAGAAGAAGCACCGGCUAACUCCGUGCCGAGCAGCCGCGGUAAUGACGGAGGGUGCAAGCGUUAAUCGGAAUUACUGGGCGUAAAGCGCGCGUAGGCGGCUAGAUCAGUCGGGUGUGAAAGCCCCGGGCUUAACCUGGGAACUGCAUCCGAUACUGUCUAGCUUGAGUACAGGAGAGGAGAGUGGAAUUCCACAUGUAGCGGUGAUAUGCGUAGAUAUGUGGAGGAACACCAAUGGCGAAGGCAGCUCUCUGGCCUGAUACUGACGCUGAGGUGCGAAAGCGUGGGGAGCAAACAGGAUUAGAUACCCCGGUAGUC
rnacentral:rRNA from 1 species